rnacentral:rRNA from 1 species
CACGCCGUAAACGCUGAUUACUAGGUGUAGGGGGUAUAGACUCCCUCUGUGCCGCAGUUAACGCAUUAAGUAAUCCACCUGGGGAGUACGGCCGCAAGGUUAAAACUCAAAGGAAUUGACGGGGGCCCGCACAAGCAGCGGAGCAUGUGGUUUAAUUCGAAGCAACGCGAAGAACCUUACCUAGACUUGACAUCUCCUGCAUUACUCUUAAUCGAGGAAGUCCCUUCGGGGACAGGAUGACAGGUGG